GGCGGCAGGCCUAACACAUGCAAGUCGAGCGCACCCCUUCGGGGGCGAGCGGCGGACGGGUUAGUAACGCGUGGGAACAUACCCUUUGGUACGGAAUAGCCUCGGGAAACUGAGAGUAAUACCGUAUGUGCCCUUCGGGGGAAAGAUUUAUCGCCAAAGGAUUGGCCCGCGUUAGAUUAGAUAGUUGGUGGGGUAAUGGCCUACCAAGUCUACGAUCUAUAGCUGGUUUUAGAGGAUGAUCAGCAACACUGGGACUGAGACACGGCCCAGACUCCUACGGGAGGCAGCAGUGGGGAAUCUUAGACAAUGGGCGCAAGCCUGAUCUAGCCAUGCCGCGUGUGUGAUGAAGGCCUUAGGGUCGUAAAGCACUUUCGCCAGAGAUGAUAAUGACAGUAUCUGGUAAAGAAACCCCGGCUAACUCCGUGCCAGCAGCCGCGGUAAUACGGAGGGGGUUAGCGUUGUUCGGAAUUACUGGGCGUAAAGCGUACGUAGGCGGAUCAGAAAGUAUGGGGUGAAAUCCCAGGGCUCAACCCUGGAACUGCCUCAUAAACUCCUGGUCUUGAGUUCGAGAGAGGUGAGUGGAAUUCCAAGUGUAGAGGUGAAAUUCGUAGAUAUUUGGAGGAACACCAGUGGCGAAGGCGGCUCACUGGCUCGAUACUGACGCUGAGGUACGAAAGUGUGGGGAGCAAACAGGAUUAGAUACCCUGGUAGUCCACACCGUAAACGAUGAAUGCCAGUCGUCGGGCAGUAUACUGUUCGGUGACACACCUAACGGAUUAAGCAUCCG
rnacentral:rRNA from 1 species